UCAAUAAGCGGAGGAAAAGAAACUAACAAGGAUUCCCCUAGUAACUGCGAGUGAAGCGGGAAAAGCUCAAAUUUGAAAUCUGGCGGUUCUUGACCGUCCGAGUUGUAAUCUAGAGAAGUGCUACCUGUGCUGGACCAUGUACAAGUCUCCUGGAAUGGAGCAUCACAGAGGGUGAGAAUCCCGUCUUUGACAUGGACGACCUGCGCAUUAUGGGUGUGCUCUCGAAGAGUCGAGUUGUUUGGGAAUGCAGCUCAAAAUGGGUGGUAAAUGCCAUCUAAAGCUAAAUAUUGGCGAGAGACCGAUAGCGAACAAGUACCGUGAGGGAAAGAUGAAAAGAACUUUGGAAAGAGAGUUAAACAGUACGUGAAAUUGCUGAAAGGGAAACGCUUGAAGUCAGUCGCAUUGGCUGGAAAUCAACCCUGCUUUUGCUUGGUGUACUUUCCGGUUGAUGGGUCAGCAUCAGUUUUGACCGCUGGAUAAAGUCUUUGGGAAUGUGGCAUCCUCGGAUGUGUUAUAGCCCAUUGUCGCAUGCAGUGGUUGGGAUUGAGGAACUCAGCACGCCGCAAGGCCGGGUUUCGACCACGCUCGUGCUUAGGAUGCUGGCAUAAUGGCUUUAAUCGACCCGUCUUGAAACACGGACCAAGGAGUCUAACAUGCCUGCGAGUGUUUGGGUGGAAAACCCAUGCGCGCAAUGAAAGUGAAAGUUGAGAUCCCCUGCAAAGGGAGAGCAUUGACGCCCGGACCAGACCUUCUGUGACGGAUCCGCGGUAGAGCAUGCAUGUUGGGACCCGAAAGAUGGUGAACUAUGCCUGAAUAGGGUGAAGCCAGAGGAAACUCUGGUGGAGGCUCGUAGCGAUUCUGACGUGCAAAUCGAUCGUCAAAUUUGGGUAUAGGGGCGAAAGACUAAUCGAACCAUCUAGUAGCUGGUUCCUG
rnacentral:rRNA from 1 species